AUGAGUCAUAGUAUAAAUGUCUAUAUCAUGUAAUAAGUACUUGAGUGUAUAGAUAGGUACUUGAGUGUAUAAACAUAGGUACUUGAGUGUAUGAAGACUUGUGUGACAUGCUUUAUACCAAGAGGCAACAAGCAUGGCAGAUUUCAUCAUUGAAGGCAAGUAUGUGGAGCUGCAGCCCUCAAUCAACCAAGAGAAGAUUGUUACCAAAUUGAGUUUCUCUUAGAGCUUUCACACUAGCUAUGUAUUCCUAUAAAUACACUCCUUUGUGAGAAGAAUAAUACACUUGAAUCUCCAUUCU